GGACACUUUGGUUGCUUCCAUGUCUUAGCUAUUGUAAAUCAUGCUGCAAUGAACGUGGAAGUGCAGAUUUUUUUUUUAGUUAGUGUUUUCAUUUUCUUUGGAUAAGUAUCCAGAUGUGGAAUUGCUGGAUCAUAUGAUGGUUCUAUUUACAUUUUCUUUCUUUUGGUUCCCAUUGGCUAUGGACUUUCAUCAAGUUCAUUUUUCUGCCUCAAACAAGCAGUGAAGUGCUGGAAUGCUACAUGGCUUGUGCAAGGACUGAAAAUUUGGUGAAGGAGGAGGUGCUAAUGACAUUUAGAAGACGCCACCAUGAGCGCCACCACCAUUUUAUUCAUACCUAUCAAUUGGCAAAACAGCAAAACAGGUAUCCGCACUCCUAUUUACUGGGAUUAUGAAAAUUAAUCUAAACAUGGAAGCGUGUGCAGAAUGAGAAAUUUUAAAUGACACCUUUGACUUGAGGACUGUUAUUAAAGUUAAAUCCUCUCACAUUCAAAGUAAUCACUAGGUAUUAACAAUAGGAAGAAAUAUUUCCUUUUUAAAAUUUUCACGGUUGCUUUCUCUUCACCCUCAAAUUACUGGGGUUAAUCUUUAAUAGAUAAAGGGAGAGAACCUAUGAUUACUUCUAGUGUGUGAAGUUGAGGGAAAUUGAAGAUGAACACUCAGCCUACCAAUGAAUUUGUAACAGGUCAUGUGUCUAUUCAUCUGGGUUAAUGUCAUGUGCAAUUAAUGACUGAAGAGUCUAAUUGAUUCCUGAUCUAGUUAACUUGUUAGCUGAGUGGUUGGACCUGAAUCCCAAUUAGAUCAGUGAGUGGAAAAUAACAUACGUGUAAGUGUUGCAACCAGUGAGUUUGAGGAAUGAGAAGGAAAGAAAAAAGCAAACGGUUUUAUCUCCAGAAAAAGGUGGCACAGGCAGAAACUGUCUUUCUCCUUCCCAAUGCCCCACCUCCACGCUAAGGAGGAGCAGAGAGGAGCUUUGGUGAUGAAGGAACAGGAAGGGAGGGAGUAAGACAAUUUCUACCUGGCCUAGAGGUUACGUUUCAGGCAAGAUACUUUUACAUUACUCUGCGUUUCCCCUUCAUAUUUUAAAAAGUCCCACCCACCCAUCCUCUUGCCAUCUGACCAUUCUAGAAGCCGGGUACAUAAUGAUGAUGCAGACUUAGCAGCCUGAUGAAAGUAAU
rnacentral:lncRNA from 1 species